rnacentral:rRNA from 1 species
AGUGAACGCUGGCGGUAGGCCUAACACAUGCAAGUCGAACGGCAGCACAGUAAGAGCUUGCUCUUACGGGUGGCGAGUGGCGGACGGGUGAGGAAUACAUCUGAAUCUACUUUUUCGUGGGGGAUAACGUAGGGAAACUUACGCUAAUACCGCAUACGACCUACGGGUGAAAGCAGGGGAUCUUCGGACCUUGCGCGAUUGAAUGAGCCGAUGUCGGAUUAGUUAGUUGGCGGGGUAAAGGCCCACCAAGGCGACGAUCCGUAGCUGGUCUGGGAGGAGGAUCAGCCACACUGGAACGGAGACACGGUCCAGACUCCUACGGGAGGCAGCAGUGGGGAAUAUUGGACAAUGGGCGCAAGCCUAAUCCAGCCAUACCGCGUGGGUGAAGAAGGCCUUCGGGUUGUAAAGCCCUUUUGUUGGGAAAGAAAAGCAGCAGGUUAAUACCCCGCUGUUCUGACGGUACCCAAAGAAUAAGCACCGGCUAACUUCGUG